rnacentral:rRNA from 1 species
GAUGAACGCUGACAGAAUGCUUAACACAUGCAAGUCGAUUCGAUUUACCUUCGGGUAUUGAGGAUGGCGGACGGGUGAGUAACGCGUAAGGAACUUGCCUCUUGGUCUGGGACAACUGUUGGAAACGACAGCUAAUACCGGAUAUUAUGAGAUUCUCGCAUGGGAAACUUAUGAAAGCUAUAUGCGCCAAGAGAGAGCCUUGCGUUCCAUUAGCUAGUUGGUGGGGUAACGGCCCACCAAGGCGACGAUGGAUAGCCGGCCUGAGAGGGUGAACGGCCACAAGGGGACUGAGACACGGCCCUUACUCCUACGGGAGGCAGCAGUGGGGAAUAUUGGACAAUGGGCCACAAGCCUGAUCCAGCAAUUCUGUGUGCACGAUGAAGGUCUUCGGAUUGUAAAGUGCUUUCAGUUGGGAAGAAGAAAGUGACGGUACCAACAGAAGAAGCGACGGCUAAAUACAUGCCAGCAGCCGCGGUAAUACGUAUGUCGCAAGCGUUAUCCGGAUUUAUUGGGCGUNAAGCGCGUCUAGGCGGAAAAAUAAGUCUGAUGUUAAAAUGCGGGGCUCAACUCCGUAUUGCGUUGNAAACUGUUUUUCUAGAGUACUGGAGANGUGGGCGGAACUACAAGUGUAGAGGUGAAAUUCGUAGA